rnacentral:rRNA from 1 species
CCUACGGGUGGCUGCAGUGGGGAAUUUUGGACAAUGGGGGCAACCCUGAUCCAGCCAUGCCGCGUGCGGGAAGAAGGCCUUCGGGUUGUAAACCGCUUUUGUCGGGGAAGAAAUCCUUCGAGCUAAUACCACGAGGGGAUGACGGUACCCGGAGAAUAAGCACCGGCUAACUACGUGCCAGCAGCCGCGGUAAUACGUAGGGUGCAAGCGUUAAUCGGAAUUACUGGGCGUAAAGCGUGCGCAGGCGGUCCUGCAAGACAGAUGUGAAAUCCCCG